UGAGGUCCGAGAUCCAGAUUAGAUAAAUCAAACAGAUUAUACCUUAGUUUGAAUUCAAGAACAAUUAAUAUUAAUAAACUCCUAAUUUCCCAAAUUAAGUAUUAUUUAUCAUACAUGAGAAUAUACCUGAAUCUAGCUACUUCACCCAACUGUUAACAACCUAAAAACAAAUCAAUCGAGCAAUAACUUGCUCACCAACCAAUUUACUUCUUUAAAACCCAUAAACCAUUCAAUCUAGAUUUAUUUCAACACCAUAAUCUAUUGUGUAAUCCUAGAGUCUCUGUGGAUUCGAUCCUUAAGUACUACAUCUGAACCUCUUUUUUGAGAGAGUAAUUCACUCCUUAGGGUAAUUUGAGUGAUAUCAGGUCACUACCACAUCCUCAUCUUCAUUCCAACAGAACCAGAUCUUCCCUAAAGGACUGUAUUUGUAAUUAGUAAUUGCUUUCCAUCCCGGGAGCGCAGAAUUCAUAAUGCCAGCAUGCUUCCCCUCUUGAACGCGAGUUUCAGUUAGACAUCCAAACACAUUUUCUCAAUUCUAACCCAAUCUUGCAGAACUUUGUGUUUGUGCGGCAGAUUAAAUCCUCGCAUAUUCCAUGAAAAGAAACUCGUCAUAUCUUCUGUGAGGAAGAAGAUUUAGAAUGGCCCUGCAUAUUCUGAAGCUUCAAGUCUCGUGUCGUGCGGAUUGGUUUCCGAUAAGAUUUACUACUUCCUUUACUUGUCUUG
rnacentral:lncRNA from 1 species